UAGGGAAUCUUCCACAAUGGACGCAAGUCUGAUGGAGCAACGCCGCGUGAGUGAAGAAGGUUUUCGGAUCGUAAAGCUCUGUUGUUGGUGAAGAAGGAUAGAGGCAGUAACUGGUCUUUAUUUGACGGUAAUCAACCAGAAAGUCACGGCUAACUACGUGCCAGCAGCCGCGGUAAUACGUAGGUGGCAAGCGUUGUCCGGAUUUAUUGGGCGUAAAGCGAGCGCAGGCGGAAUGAUAAGUCUGAUGUGAAAGCCCACGGCUCAACCGUGGAACUGCAUCGGAAACUGUCAUUCUUGAGUGCAGAAGAGGAGAGUGGAAUUCCAUGUGUAGCGGUGGAAUGCGUAGAUAUAUGGAAGAACACCAGUGGCGAAGGCGGCUCUCUGGACUGCAACUGACGCUGAGGCUCGAUAGCAUGGGUAGCGAACAGG
rnacentral:rRNA from 1 species